rfam:Felis catus isolate Cinnamon breed Abyssinian chromosome E2, whole genome shotgun sequence.
ACCUGAGUGGCUCAGUCGGUUGAGCGUCUGACUUCAGCUCAGGUCAUGAUCUCACAGUUUGUGGGCUCGAGCCCCGCGUCAGGCU